AUUUGGAAAUUGGUUAGGGGAGACCCAUGCCACUUGACUGGGAAAGGAUGUUGGAGGUGCAUUCGGUCCGCCCCUAAGAGCUGGAGAGACUUCAUGGUGAUUUGAACUUUUGGUUGGGUUGCAUAUGAUUCUUUUAUGCAGCAUGAUGUUCAAGAACUCAAUAGGAUUCUUUGUGAGAAAUUUGAAGAUAAAAUAAAGGGAACUCUUUUAGAAGGCCCAAUUCAACAAUUAUUUGAAGGGUUGUACAUUACCAUGGAAUUGAGGCGAUUGGCUGAUGGAUAUAGUGAAGCAAAAAUUGAAAUUACGGACUGGCAUGAUGUAUAAAGGUAUGUGAAACUGAAAAAAUGUGCGAGCCAAUCCACAGACGGAGAAAUUGCUGUUGGUGCGAUUCCAAAGUGGCCAGAACGACUAAAACAAGCUCCAUCACGGACCGCAUUGAUUAAAACGGAAAUGACGUGUUUGAUGCCGCCACACGCCAUUGGGAAAGAAGGAUUUUUCAAUAUAAGAAUUCAUUAAACUUAAAACUGUGGACUCCAGCGGUAAGAAAUGUGAUGGAUAUGAAUGCGUUUUUUGGUCGUUUUGCUGCUGCUUUAGCAUCCGAUCCGUUGUGGGUGAUGAAUGUUUUUGCAGACCGCAAGCCUUCAACUUUGGGUGUCAUUUAUGAUAGGGCUUAUUGGUGUUUAUCAUGAUUGGUGUGAACCUUUCUCAAGUUAUCCUCGAACUUAUGAUUUCAUUCAUGUGGUUGCAACUGAAUCCCUCAUAAAGGAUCCAGCACCCGACAAAAACAGGUGAUGGAAUAAUCUUACUUCCCUAUGACUGCUUUUAAUGCAAAUUGCUUUCAAAACGUACUACCUACUGAAGCACCUCUCAAGAAUGUUCAAGACAUCUUAGAAGAACAUGUUAUUGAUGUUGAUGCUCAUGAUAAUUCAGAUGAAGAAGAUGAUUUAGACAAUCGCUUGAUUAAUGAGGAGCGUGUCUACGACAUAACCAAUCUUGGAAUCGAGUGUAAUAAUCAAACUGUACACAG